AUCUUCGGCGGAAGACUUUUAGUAUAUGAUUCAGGAGGGUAUUAGGACCAAUAAAAACUAUGAGGCAUUUCUGUUGCAAAUUUUUUGUCUUUUUGGGCUAGAUUGACUGGCCUACUAGGC